UUCCUCUUUUACUUGAUUCUUCCUGUAAGCAGAAACUCAGCUUCAGGCAUUAAUAUCAUUAAAUUAACUUUCUAGAAAUGAUGCUAAGGAA
rnacentral:snoRNA from 1 species